CACAUCAGUACCCGGAUCGGCGGGGCAGGUCAGAGGCGAGCCGGGAAGCGAUGGCCGAAUGAUACAUCACAUCAUGGAACGUCUCCGUCUCCAUCGCUUUCAUCCGCAGCUUCCUCGCCUUCUCCUCCGUAAAUGCCGCAAAUCGCCGCCGCGGCCCCGGUCCCGGAUUUUCUACUUCCUCCGACGCUGCCUCCGUGGCGGCGUCAGCAAUGUAGUCCGGCUCCCCCGACCAUCCGAAGAUCGGGGCCCACCAGCUGCCACCGCUACCGCCUACGGCCGCAGCCCUCAGACUCUUCCGGCUGCCGCCAGGGGCGGCGGAGGAGCAGAUCGCGGUCGGAGCGAUGCUCAUGACGAUCCCAGAUGCUGCCAUUUGAGAG
rnacentral:misc_RNA from 1 species